CGGCCGCCCGGCCCGCUUGACAUACCAGAAAUAGCUGCACACAAUUGUACCUUUCCCGGCCAAGAAACCUCCCCCGCUGGGGAGCGCGGCCCGCCGCCCUCACCUGAGCCCCGGCCAGCUGAGCCCGCUACCCGCUCUCCCGCCGCGAUCCGGCCCAGCCGCCAGGUGAGCGCCGUCCCCUCCCACGCUCCCCGCCCCCUGCGGCGGCCGGGCCCUCCCGGCGGCAGAGGAGGGUCGUGGCCUUGGCACGUGCUGCCGCUUCCCCCCGGCGGAGUUCGGCCCCGCUCCGCCCGGCUUCCAGGUGGGUGCGGUGGAAGGAGGGUCCCUGCCCCUCCACCCCGGCUCGCGGCUGAGGGUUCGAGCAAGCUGGAGGGUUCCUUGCAUUCCCCACUUCCCGCCCGCUCAGCCCAGUUUAGGCCGUUUGAUGAUCGCCCUCGCGGUGAGCGUCAAAAUUCCCACCCUUCGUGGUUUGAGGACACUCAGGGGACAGCGAGGUGGCAGGUUAUGCGGUAUCCGCCGCGGCCCUGGCUAAAGAAGUCACUUUCAAGAGAUCUGGAGAAGUAAGAUGGCCAAAUAAAAGCCUCUACCAAUCAUCCUCCCCACAGGAACACCAAAUUUAAGAACUAUCUACACAAAAAAGCACCUUCAUAAGAACCAAAAAUCAGAGAGAACAAGGAUAAAGAAGUAUCCAAAUACAAAGAAAAUGUUAUGCAAGUGACCUUUAGAGAUGUUUUAAAGAUGACAAAAUAUUGAUGAAGAUGGGCCAACAAGUGUUACUGUUACCUCUAAUAAAGUUUCAUCACUAGUUUCACCAUGGUUAAUUGGAAAUGGCUUCCGCCCAUCUGUGGAAAACAGACAAACAAUUGAAUGCUUAGCUGUUUUUACAGGAUAAUGUGCUUUCAACUUCCAU
rnacentral:lncRNA from 1 species